rfam:Triticum aestivum genome assembly, contig: Triticum_aestivum_CS42_TGACv1_scaffold_320255_4BL
AUUCUACUCCCUCUGUUGCACAAUACAUGCCUUCUAUUUGUCAAACUAUAUAUGUAUCUAGACAUGUUUUAGUAUAUAGGUACAUCCAUUUUUGGACAAAUGGAAGUCAAGUAUUUUGGAACGGAGGGAGUACACA